GCAAGGAAUAUUGCGCAAUGGGCGAAAGCCUGACGCAGCGACGCCGCGUGAGGGAUGAAGACCUUCGGGUUGUAAACCUCUUUUAUCAGGGAAGAAUAAUGACGGUACCUGGUGAAUAAGUCUCGGCUAACUACGUGCCAGCAGCCGCGGUAAUACGUAGGAGGCAAGCGUUAUCCGGAUUUAUUGGGCGUAUAGAGCGCGUAGGCGGCUUUGCUAGUCAGAUGUGAAAUCUCCCGGCUCAACUGGGAGGGGUCAUUUGAUACUGCAAGGCUGGAGGGCAGCAGAGGGAGGUGGAAUUCCCGGUGUAGUGGUGAAAUGCGUAGAUAUCGGGAGGAACACCAGUGGCGAAAGCGGCCUCCUGGGCUGUACCUGACGCUGAGGUGCGAAAGCGUGGGGAGCGAACAGGAUUAGAUACCCGAGUAGUCC
rnacentral:rRNA from 1 species